AGUGAACGCUGGCGGUAGGCCUAACACAUGCAAGUCGAACGGCAGCACAGUAAGAGCUUGCUCUUACGGGUGGCGAGUGGCGGGCGGGUGAGGAAUACAUCGGAAUCUACUUUUUCGUGGGGGAUAACGUAGGGAAACUUACGCUAAUACCGCAUACGACCUACGGGUGAAAGCAGGGGAUCUUCGGACCUUGCGCGAUUGAAUGAGCCGAUGUCGGAUUAGCUAGUUGGCGGGGUAAAGGCCCACCAAGGCGACGAUCCGUAGCUGGUCUGAGAGGAUGAUCAGCCACACUGGAUCUGAGACACGGUCCAGACUCCUACGGGAGGCAGCAGUGGGGAAUAUUGGACAAUGGGCGCAAGCCUGAUCCAGCCAUACCGCGUGGGUGAAGAAGGCCUUCGGGUUGUAAAGCCCUUUUGUUGGGAAAGAAAAGCAGCAGGUUAAUACCCCGCUGCUCUGACGGUACCCAAAGAAUAAGCACCGGCUAACUUCGUG
rnacentral:rRNA from 1 species